UACGUAGGGUCCGAGCGUUGUCCGGAGUUACUGGGCGUAAAGGGCGCGCAGGCGGCGGUGUGGGCCCGGCGUGAAAGCCCCCGGCUCAACCGGGGAGGGUCGUCGGGGACCGCACCGCUUGAGGGCGGUAGGGGCUGGUGGAAUGCCUGGUGUAGUGGUGAAAUGCGUAGAGAUCAGGCGGAACACCCGUGGCGAAGGCGGCCAGCUGGGCCGUCCCUGACGCUGAGGCGCGAAGGCGUGGGGAGCGAACGGG
rnacentral:rRNA from 1 species